rnacentral:rRNA from 1 species
UUCCAGACUCCUACGGGAGGCAGCAGUGGGGGAUAUUGCACAAUGGGGGAAACCCUGAUGCAGCGACGCCGCGUGGGCGAAGAAGUAUUUCGGUAUGUAAAGCCCUAUCAGCAGGGAAGAAGAAAUGACGGUACCUGAGUAAGAAGCACCGGCUAAAUACGUGCCAGCAGCCGCGGUAAUACGUAUGGUGCAAGCGUUAUCCGGAUUUACUGGGUGUAAGGGGAGCGCAGGCGGCACGGCAAGCCUGAUGUGAAAGCCCGCGGCCCAACCGCGGGACUGCAUUGGGAACUACCGGGCUGGAGUGCCGGAGAGGUAGGCGGAAUUCCUGGUGUAGCGGUGAAAUGCGUAGAUAUCAGGAGGAACACCGGCGGCGAAGGCGGCCUGCUGGACCGUGACUGACGUUGAGGCUCGAGAGCGUGGGGAGCAAACAGGAUUAGAUACCCUAGUA